UUGGUAAGGGAUUUCAUAAUGCUGACCUCGC
rnacentral:piRNA from 1 species